GACGAACCGAGCGAACGUUGUUCGGAAUCACUGGGCUUAAAGGGUGCGUAGGCGGUCUGUCAAGUCUGGGGUGAAAUCCCACGGCUCAACCGUGGAACUGCCUUAGAUACUGCCGGGCUCGAGGGAGAUAGGGGCGAGCGGAACUGUGAGUGGAGCGGUGAAAUGCGUUGAUAUUCACAGGAACUCCGGUGGCGAAGGCGGCUCGCUGGAUCUUUUCUGACGCUGAGGCGCGAAAGCUAGGGGAGCAAACGGG
rnacentral:rRNA from 1 species